rnacentral:rRNA from 1 species
CGUAGGGUGCGAGCGUUGUCCGGAAUUACUGGGCGUAAAGAGCUCGUAGGUGGUUUGUCGCGUCGUCUGUGAAAUUCCGGGGCUUAACUUCGGGCGUGCAGGCGAUACGGGCAUAACUUGAGUGCUGUAGGGGAGACUGGAAUUCCUGGUGUAGCGGUGGAAUGCGCAGAUAUCAGGAGGAACACCGAUGGCGAAGGCAGGUCUCUGGGCAGUAACUGACGCUGAGGAGCGAAAGCAUGGGAGCGAACAGGAUU